rnacentral:rRNA from 1 species
GACGAACGCUGGCGGCGUGCUUAACACAUGCAAGUCGAACGGAAAGGCCCUGCUUUUGUGGGGUGCUCGAGUGGCGAACGGGUGAGUAACACGUGAGUAACCUGCCCUUGACUUUGGGAUAACUUCAGGAAAGUGGGGCUAAUACCGGCUAGGAGCUCCCGCUGCAUGGUGGGGGUUGGAAAGUUUCGGCGGUUGGGGAUGGACUCGCGGCUUAUCAGCUUGUUGGUUGGGUAGUGGCUUACCAAGGUUUUGACGGGUAGCCGGCCUGAGAGGGUGAACGGCCACAUUGGGACUGAGAUACGGCCCAGGCUCCUACGGGAGGCAGCAGGGGGGAGUAUUGCACAAUGGGCGGAAGCCUGAUGCAGCAACGCCGCGUGCGGGAUGACGGCCUUCGGGUUGUGAACCGCUUUCGCCUGUGACGAAGCGUGAGUGACGGUAAUGGGUAAAGAAGCACCGGCUAACUACGUG